rnacentral:rRNA from 1 species
UACGAAGGGGGCUAGCGUUGUUCGGAAUUACUGGGCGUAAAGCGCGCGUAGGCGGUGAUCUUUGUCAGAGGUGAAAGCCUGGGGCUCAACUCCAGAAUUGCCUUUGAAACGGGAUUGCUUGAGUCCGAGAGAGGAUGGCGGAAUUCCUAGCGUAGAGGUGAAAUUCGUAGAUAUUAGGAAGAACACCGGUGGCGAAGGCGGCCAUCUGGCUCGGUACUGACGCUCAGGCGCGAAAGCGUGGGGAGCAAACAGG